rnacentral:rRNA from 1 species
UACGGGGGGAGCAAGCGUUGUUCGGAUUUACUGGGCGUAAAGGGCGCGUAGGCGGCCACCGCAAGUCGACUGUGAAAUCUCCGGGCUUAACUCGGAAAGGUCAGCCGAUACUGCGGGGCUAGAGUGCAGAAGGGGCAACUGGAAUUCUCGGUGUAGCGGUGAAAUUCGUAGAUAUUAGGAAGAACACCGGUGGCGAAGGCGGCCCACUGGUUCGAUACUGACGCUGAGGUGCGAAAGCGUGGGGAGCAAACAGG